AGUGUAGUUCUAAAAUCUCUGCUACCUCUCCUUUUACCUCUGUGAAGCUCUUCCAGAAUGCUUUAAAAGAAAAAUUGACUGGAUUCUCUCUGUAAUUUCAGGAAUGUACUGAAUAUGAAGGGAGACAUAAUACCUUGUGCCACCUUCCUCCACCGAGGUAUAUUUGAGUAACACCUCCCCAGGAAGCCUCCUCUGCCCUGACCCGGUAGGACAGAUGGGUGGAGGAACAAAUACAUUUUAUAAAAAGCAGCAAAAAGGGAAAUUGUCAAAGCACAACAGAACUGUCAGCAAACUUCAAAGAAUCCAAG